rnacentral:tRNA from 1 species
UGGCUCAGACGGUAAAGUGUCUGCCUGUAAUGCGGGAGACCCAGGUUCGAUCCCUGG